rnacentral:rRNA from 1 species
GACGAACGCUGGCGGCGUGCCUAAUACAUGCAAGUAGAACGCUGAAGAGAGGAGCUUGCUCUUCUUGGAUGAGUUGCGAACGGGUGAGUAACGCGUAGGUAACCUGCCUUGUAGCGGGGGAUAACUAUUGGAAACGAUAGCUAAUACCGCAUAACAAUGGAUGACACAUGUCAUUUAUUUGAAAGGGGCAAUUGUUCCACUACAAGAUGGACCUGCGUUGUAUUAGCUAGUAGGUGAGGUAAUGGCUCACCUAGGCGACGAUACAUAGCCGACCUGAGAGGGUGGUCGGGCACACUGGGACUGGGAAACGGCCCAGACUCCUACGGGAGGCAGCAGUAGGGGAUCUUCGGCAAUGGGGGCAAACCUGACCGGGCAACGCCGCGGGAGUGGAGAAGGUUUUCGGAUCGGAAAGCUCUGUUGUAAGUGAAGAACGGGUGUGAGAGUGGAAAGUUCACACUGUGACGGUAGCUAACCAGAAAGGGACGGCUAACUACGUG